UCCUGCCGGAGUACCGGGUACGGUCCGCGAAAAGUGACCCUGGGACUGCGUGCAUGCAUGCCUCCGGGGUGGAUGGCAUUCCGCCAACAGGGUCACUCCGAUAGCGCCCGGCAGCCCAAGCACCCUUCCUACCCUUCCUGCCUCCCUGAAGUCCAGCAUUAAUCCCUUACCCGGCGACACCCGGCAGCCCCUUCACCCCUGUGUACCUCGCAGGAUGCAGAGAUUGUGCGGACCCGGGAUCCCGAAAAACUCGCUUCCUGUGACAUCGUGGUGGACGUGGGGGGCGAGUACGACCCUCGGAGACACCGAUAUGACCAUCACCAGAGGUCUUUCACAGAGACCAUGAGCUCCCUGUCCCCUGGGAAGCCGUGGCAGACCAAGCUGAGCAGUGCGGGACUCAUCUAUCUGCACUUCGGGCACAAGCUGCUGGCCCAGUUGCUGGGCACUAGUGAAGAGGACAGCAUGGUGGGCACCCUCUAUGACAAGGUGGGGACCUGAGGACAGAGAUGCCCCCCACAUGCAUUUCCAGCAGGCCGCCUGGGAGCAGUGCUCACACAGCACUCAGCACUGGGCCUCGGGUCAGGGUUCC
rnacentral:sRNA from 1 species